AUUGAACGCUGGCGGCAGGCUUAACACAUGCAAGUCGAGCGGGGAAGGGUAGCUUGCUACCUAACCUAGCGGCGGACGGGUGAGUAAUGCUUAGGAAUCUGCCAUUUAGUGGGGGACAACAUUCCGAAAGGAAUGCUAAUACCGCAUACGUCCUACGGGAGAAAGCAGGGGAUCUUCGGACCUUGCGCUAAAUGAUGAGCCUAAGUCGGAUUAGCUAGUUGGUGGGGUAAAGGCCUACCAAGGCGACGAUCUGUAGCGGGUCUGAGAGGAUGAUCCGCCACACUGGGACUGAGACACGGCCCAGACUCCUACGGGAGGCAGCAGUGGGGAAUAUUGGACAAUGGGGGAAACCCUGAUCUAGCCAUGCCGCGUGAGCGAUGAAGGCCUUAGGGUUGUAAAGCUCUUUAAGCGAGGAGGAGGCUACCUAGAUUAAUACUCUGGGAUAGUGGACGUUACUCGCAGAAUAAGCACCGGCUAACUCUGUGCCAGCCGCCGCGGUAAUAC
rnacentral:rRNA from 1 species